GAUGAACGCUAGCGGCAGGCCUAAUACAUGCAAGUCGAGGGGCAGCGCGGUAGCAAUACUGGCGGCGACCGGCGCACGGGUGCGUAACACGUAUGCAACCUACCUUCAACUGGAGGAUAGCCCGGGGAAACUCGGAUUAAUACUCCAUAACACAGGGAUCCCGCAUGGGAAUAUUGUUAAAGCUACGGCGGUUGAAGAUGGGCAUGCGUUCGAUUAGCUAGUUGGUGUAGGUAACGGCUCACCAAGGCUACGAUCGAUAGGGGGUCUGAGAGGAUGAUCCCCCACACUGGUACUGAGAUACGGACCAGACUCCUACGGGAGCAGCAGUAGGGAAUAUUGGUCAAUGGGCGCAAGCCUGAACCAGCCAUGCCGCGUGCAGGAAGAAGGCCCUCUGGGUUGUAAACUGCUUUUGAUAGGGAACAAAUGCCACUUGCGAGUGGAGCUGAGUGUACCUAUAGAAUAAGCACCGGCUAACUCCGUGCCAG
rnacentral:rRNA from 1 species